CCGCUGGCCUACACCAAAGUCACAGCAACGUGGGAUCCAAGCCGCAUCUGCAACCUACACUACAGCUCACGGCAACGCUGGAUCCUUAACCCACUGAGCAAGGUCAGGGACCGAACCCGCAACCUCAUGAUUCCUAGUCAGAUUCAUUAACCACUGAGCCACGACAGGAACUCCCAACAUUCUGUUUCUUAACAGAGGGAAUAGUGAUAGCCAACAUGCACUCACUCUAAAUUAUGCAUAUAUGUUUUGUACUCUUCUGAAUACAUACAUGAUAUAAUGUGUACUUUCGCAAAAUGAAAAAAUAAUGUGGACGUGGUAGUCUACAGAAUGGGAUGGAGAAGAGACACUUUGGAAUCAAAGACGCAGGAAGGAAGCUGGUGCUGAGAUGGAGGCUGAGGGUGAGGAAGGUGUGGAGUAGACCAUUGAGAGUAGGGAUGCAGGGGGAGGAGAGGUGAGAGAUGCUUCCUGCGUGAACGGGGCCAUGAGCAAAAUAUAGCUCCAGAUAUGGAUAAUGAUGACAGAGGGUAGUUGAGAGGGAAGGACCUGGCUGGGGUGUGUGGUUACAUUUUGAACCCGUUCAGCUGGGACCAUCCAAACUGCGGGUCUGUAAUAUCAUUGGGUGGAAGGAGCAGAAGCCCGGUUGAGCUAACUCAAGUGGGGAUCUAGAAACUCAGAAGCAGACGCCCUGGAGCGCACGUGGUUUUUGUUCUGCUCUUCUCACAUCUGCCGACUAGGUUCUUCUGCUUCCUCGGAGGGAGGGCCCACCUAGCAGAAGCUGGAGAGCCCUGGGAACCCCGCAGGGAGGCAAGGCCACUUCAGAGCAGCCUGAUGGAGGCAUCCUUGGAAAGUCUGUCACAGCUGUCUAGCAGUGACCUGCUGGGUGAUGAACAGGGAAUUAUAUAAAGUAAAUGAACAAUAUAGAAGAAAAGGAGGAAGAAGAUGGGGGAAAGAGAAGAGGAGUAGAAGGAGGAGGUGGAGAAGAAAGCAUUGUUUUUUAAAAGCCCAGCCCUGAACGUAAAACCUUUGAAUAACUUCCCAUUGCUCGUUGGAUAAUCACUCCCCCCUUCACACCUCUCCCCGUCUCUCCCCACCCCUUCCAGUUAUAGGAGGUUUCUGGGGCCUGCUAGGAUGUGUUCACACAGCCCUGUGGGAAAUUGCCCCAUGGGGUUGCAGCAACUGAAUCAGGGGGAGGGGGUGGGGGGUACCAUAAUGGGCUCUUCGUAAGGAGCAUAGAGCACUGCACGAAGCGGGGUUUGGUCCCCGGUCUGUGACUCUAGGACCAUGGGAAAAUGACCGUCUAAGCCUCCUGUUCUUGGCCUGGGCAGUGAAUGGGGAGAAUGCGCCCUGUCCUGCCUGCCUUACUGGGAGGCUCAGGUGAGAUAAAGAGCCUAGAAACCUUUGUGAAUUAUCCAGUGCUGAACAAGUAAGGGAUUGCUCCUACUACUGAGUAAACUACCUUGAGAAGUGUCAGAAGCCCGCCUCCUUCAUCUCUCAGUGCUUUUCUUUCUAAUAAUCCUUUAUGUCAUUAUAACACUUGAU
rnacentral:lncRNA from 1 species